rnacentral:rRNA from 1 species
UACGAAGGACCCAAGCGUUAUCCGGAUUUAUUGGGUUUAAAGGGUGCGUAGGCGGGUUAUUAAGUCAGUGGUGAAAGCCUUCAGCUUAACUGGAGAAUUGCCAUUGAUACUGAUGAUCUUGAGUAUGAUUGAGGUGGGCGGAAUGUGUCAUGUAGCGGUGAAAUGCUUAGAUAUGACACAGAACACCAAUUGCGAAGGCAGCUCGCUACACGAAUAUUGACUCUGAGGCACGAAAGCGUGGGGAUCAAACAGG